UUUAAAUAGAUUUUAGGAAAGGAACACUAUUAUUGCAAAUAGAGUUCGUCAAAUCCUUAUAAAAUCUUUUUCAUAUUGUUUCCAGUCUUAAAAAUCAAGAUGAAAUUAUCUGGAGCCAUAUUAUUUGUUGUAACAAUCAACGGCCUUUCCGAUGCCUUCCAACUUUCGAAAGACGCAAAAGGUGAAAAUGCCCUGGUUCUCAAUGAGACAACAGAUAAAAAUGGAUUUCUUCGAGAAAAUAGAUUGCGAAAAAGGUCUAGUUCAGAUGACGUUGAUAUCAAAGCAGUUGAUAUGUCUUUAUCUUUGCAACGUCAAACAAUACAAUAUGCAAGACAGGGUACAGAUCGUUUUAGCAGUAGGGCCGAUAUUGCAGAAUAUAUUAAGGACAACCUAGAUGGACAUGGUGGCGGAAAGUAUCAUUGCAUUGUUGGAACAUCUUUUGGGUACUCCAUUACGUUUCAUCAGAGAUAUUAUUUUUAUUUCAAACUGGGUGAUUAUUACAUAUUGGUAUUCAGACAUUGACAAAUAUAUAUGCCAAAAGCUUAAUACGUGAAACUGUGACUUCAUAACAUUAACUGCUUGUUCAGUUACCAAAUGUCAUUUUAGCAACAUUUCGUAUAGUAUCUAUUAUUUUCCCUGUAUACUGUUUAUAACUAAUAAAACAUUUUUAAAAUACA